rnacentral:rRNA from 1 species
GAUAAACGCUGACAGAAUGCUUAACACAUGCAAGUCGAUGAUGGGAGCUAGCUUGCUAGAAGAAGUCAUGGCGGACGGUGAGUAACGUGUAAAGAACUUACCAUAUAGACUGGGAUAACAGAGGGAAACUUCUGAUAAAUACUGGAUAAGUUAGUAGUAGCAUUACUAAGUAAUGAAAGGUAGUAAUACGCUAUAUGAGAGCUUUGCAUCCUAUUAGCUAGUUGGUGGGGUAAAAGCCUACCAAGGCGAUGAUAGGUAGCCGGCCUGAGAGGGUGGACGGCCACAAGGGGACUGAGAUACGGCCCUUACUCCUACGGGAGGCAGCAGUGGGGAAUAUUGGACAAUGGAGGCAACUCUGAUCCAGCAAUUCUGUGUGUGUGAAGAAGGUUUUAGGACUGUAAAACACUUUUAGUAGGGGAAGAAAGAAAUGACGGUACCUACAGAAGAAGCGACGGGCUAAAUACGUGCCCAGCAGCCGCGGGUAAAU